rnacentral:rRNA from 1 species
CCUCGGGUGGCAGCAGUGGGGCAUCAUGGUCAAUGGGCGCAAGCCUGAACCUGCGACGCCGCGUGCGUGAUGAAGGUCGUAAGAUCGUAAAACUCUUUUCAGGGAUCUUAAAGCCUGUCUGUCAACAACAGGCAGGUCUGACUCUCCCUGGAAGAAGCCCCAGCCAACUACGUGCCAGCAGCUGCGGUAAUACGUAGGGGGCGAGCGUUAUUCGGAAUUACUGGGUGUAAAGGGUAUGUAGGCGGCCCUUCAAGUCGCGUGUCAAAGUCCAGUGCUCAACGCUGGGUGUGCACGCGAUACUGACGGGCUUGAGGGCUGGAGAGGUGAGCGGAAUUCCCGGUGUAGUGGUAAAAUACGUAGAGAUCGGGAGGAACACCAGCGGCGCAGGCGGCUCACUAGACAGUUUCUGACGCUAAGAUACGAAAGCGUGGGGAGCAAACA